AUUGAACGCUGGCGGCAGGCUUAACACAUGCAAGUCGAGCGGGGUUUUCGGACCUAGCGGCGGACGGGUGAGUAAUGCGUAGGAAGCUGCCCGAUAGAGGGGGAUACCAGUUGGAAACGACUGUUAAUACCGCAUAAUGUCUACGGACCAAAGUGUGGGACCUUCGGGCCACAUGCUAUCGGAUGCGCCUACGUGGGAUUAGCUAGUUGGUGAGGUAAUGGCUCACCAAGGCGACGAUCUCUAGCUGGUUUGAGAAGAUGAUCAGCCACACUGGAACUGAGACACGGUCCAGACUCCUACGGGAGGCAGCAGUGGGGAAUAUUGGACAAUGGGCGCAAGCCUGAUCCAGCCAUGCCGCGUGUGUGAAGAAGGCCUUCGGGUUGUAAAGCACUUUCAGCGAGGAGGAAGGGGUGUGUGUUAAUAGUACGCACCUUUGACGUUACUCGCAGAAGAAGCACCGGCUAACUCUGUGCCAGCAGCCGCAGUAACAC
rnacentral:rRNA from 1 species